CAUUAAGGAAACAUGUUGAAGUGCUGGCUUCUCUGACAACAAUGCAGCAGUCAGUAUGUCCUCCUUCUAACUUUAGAUUCUGCUCCUGAAUGCUCUGGAUUUGUUUGGACCAGAGAAGGUAGGUGGUUUUAAGGCGAACCCCCACACGGCCGUUUUGGACACCCCUCGGUUUGCCAGAUAUGAGAGCAGUUAUCAGGUCAACAGGUGUUGCAGCGAUGGAAGCGGGCAAGAGAAGUGGUUCAGAUAGAAGUGAUUGUACCCGACCUAAAAAGCCUCUGCAUGUUUCUAAUAAGCUCCACGAGCAGAAACGUGCUCAAACUAGGAUCAAUAUUGGAGAUGCUUUUGAAAAAUGGAGAGAGGUUAGAACACAGAAAGGUUUACAGACCCAUGCAGAGCUGGAUAAACACUGAAGCUUCAGAGUCCACCACAUGGUGACCUGAGUGAGCAUGGACUCUAGAGAGGGGGGGGGGGGGGGGGGGGGGGGGGGGGGGAGACAGCUCUCUAUGAUGUUUAGAAUUUAGACUGCAGUACCCAUUUUAAACACAGGGGUCAGAGUUACAUACUGCUCCUUUAAUCAGGCAGAAUAUGUUUAUCUUCUGGAUUAACUUCUUCUGUAUCUGAAGUUGUGAUAAAUGAAUAAAUAAACUGCUGAAUUCAUCACUGUCAGGAUAAAUCUGUAAAAAUACCUCCCCUUGUCUUUGUGUUUGUUUUUUGGAACUUGAUUUAUUUAAACUUUCUGUCUUCAAGUGUUAUCUUUUGUCAUGAUCUUUGUCAUUAGUAUGUUUGUUGCACGGUUGCCCGGGGAACGCAACACUGCAGGCAGGUAAUCCGACAAGAAGCCACAUGCAGGAUCGACGGAGGAUGCUGGUGGAAGUUGUGACACAUGAACGAGUGCUGUGACUGUCAGAGAGAGCUGCUCUCCACACCUUUUGAGGGUGUUUAUCUGGAGGAAAAGGAAUGUCCAAACUCUCUUUAACAUGCAUUUUGCACCUGCAGUGAGUAUAGGGUAUCCUGGAAACUCAAAACAAGGCAUGUGGCCCCUUUUUGCAACUGCUAAUGUCUGACGUAUUCUUUGUAGACGGUGAGCCUCCUGCAGUGCGUUUCUGAGCUUACAACAAAACACAACAUGAGGGUCAGACAUCAGCCUCGAGGUCAGGAGAGGGGGGAUUCUUUCCGUUUCUUUUGACAGGUGAUUACUGAGUCAUUUGUUGAGAGAACUGCUACACAAUAAUCACUACUUUCCCCUUUUUUUUCCACAGGUUGCGACCCUCUGAUGGGAAUUAGUUCUGUGCUCCCCCCCUUUUACUGGAAUUCAAAGGACACACAGGCUGAUGGGUAACACACCUGGCACCUGUGCAACUGUCCUGCAACAUUCAGAGAGCCGUCUAAAAGGUUGUAAGAAUAUUUUUUGUAGUGUCUUGAUACAAACUGUCGUUUUUCUCCUCACAUUUUUUGGGGAAAUUAAGCAGUUUUUGACUCAUUUUAAAGCAAACAAAACCUGCUUAAGGUGAAAUUCUUCUUCAUGUGCUGUGUGGGGGUUUCAAGAGUCUGCAGAAUUUCCUUCAAUCAAACACCACAGCAGCAUGUUUCACACUGAUCUGCACAUGCAUGAAUGAACUAAUGGGAGAAAAUGUGCAGGUGUAACAGCUGGCUCAAUGACAAUCCUGCAGACUCUGGAGGACAUGGUGUUCAAAGUGAGCGCCCGAGUCACACAAUAAUGCUAACGUUUUCACGAGGGGAAUAGUUUUUUGUUUUUAUUUCUAAAGCAUCUUCUUGUAAUUACACGUUCUGCUUGAAAAGUAUGUUCUCAUGUUUUGUUUGCACACACAGCGCUUGAUGAAAUCUGCAGAAAUUCAACAAAAUGACCACGUCAUCCAUCACACGUCCACUCUGUAAGAAUGUGGCAGAAGAAGAAGCACAAAGCUGUGAAGUCGCCCUGAACAGCAGAGGGUCUCUGCCGCUCCUCAUCUGUCCCGGAGUCAUGCACAGCUGCUCGUGAAUCGCCUCUUCAUUAGGAGCUGUAACAGAACACAGACAGUCCACUUCCUGCUUUGUUCUUCUGGCCCUGUUCCCCACGCUCGCUGGGCGGAUUCAAAGUGUGCGACAUGUUCCCGUCAUUGAGGAGAAAUUUAAAUUAACACGGUACACAGGUGGCGAGGAGGGUGUUGUGAGCAAUGAGGUGUUAAUGACCGAAGCAGGUGGUAAAAAAAAACCAAAAAAAAAAAACAGCUCUAAUGAAACAAAUAGCCUCUUUCAAAAACAACCUUUUUAAAGUGGCUUAUGUACAAUAAAAAAAACAACAACUAACAAGCACAACGAUGGAGGGUGAUGUGGUUUCUCUUCGUCCUUGGUCACACACACCAAAGAUCUUAAAUAAUGGAAGGAUGUCUCCUCAUCCUGACAACGGAUAUUUAAAUAAGAUGUUUGUUUCUCAGUUUUAGAGUCCAGCACCUCCAUGAAAAGAUGUGCAGUGAUCAUGUGUAGUCUCUUCCUCUAAUGCGUCUAAUUAUACUUAAUAAUAAUAUUACAUAAUAAAUAGUGUUGGUCCUUUGAA